UCCAACACCUACGGGGAUAAGCGUUCAAGAUUUAGACAGAGGAUUUACACAGGAAAGGAAGGACAAAGACAGAAAUUCUCCCAAAACAGAAAACAAUACAAUGGAUUUUUCCAAAAAAAUGCGUUUUUGGAAGAAGCUUGCCGCCAACCAAACGGUUGCUCCAGGGCCAAGUAAUCUGCAGAACGCAGAUAAGACAGAUAUGACAGCGGCUCAACAAACCAUUACGAGUCAAGCGUCAGAGAUCUCAAGUCUGAAAGAGAGUCUUCAAGAUGUCAAAAAGAUGUUUGAAGAUCGUGAAGCAGAAGUGCAGCUUCUGGUAAGUAGGGCGAUCGAGUCAAACAACCUUGAACUUGCGGACCACUUCUCAGAGAAGGCGGCCAAACUCCAACAGAUCCAGACAAACUCUACACAAGAGUACGAGAUUCUCCUGGCAGAACACCAAAACGUGGUUUUUGCCCUCCAUGCUGAGCAGGCCAAGACAACGCAGCUGGAGGAACAUAAGAACGUUCUGGAACAGAAAAGAAUGUUCUUGGAACAGAAAAUUGAGGUUCUGGAGGAGGGAAAGAAGGUUCUAGAUGAGGAAGGGAUUGUCCUGGGGGAGAAAAAAAUGGCCCUGGAACAGGAAAAUAUGCUCUUGGGGCAGAAAAAUAUCACCCUGGGCCAGGAAAACAUGCUCUUGGGGCAGAAAAAUAUCGCUCUGGCCCAGGAAAAUAUGCUCUUGGGGCAGAAAAAUAUCGCCCUGGGCCAGGACAAUAUGCUCCUGGGGCAAGAAAAGUUGGCUCUCCAGGACGAAAAGAUGGUCCUUGGGCAGGAAAAGGAAGUCCUGGAGAAGGAAAAGAUGGUUCUUGGCCAGGAAAAUGUCAUCCUCGAGGAUAUUUGCCUCGAGCUGAGGAAAAGAAUUCUAGGAUUCUUUGGACGGAAGAUGGAGGACAGAGCCACAGAGAUGGCAAAGCUGAAGAGGAAGAUGGCAGAUCAGGAAAGGAGGAGAGGAUUUUUCCAUCGCCUCUUCAGGAGAAACUCCAACAACAGUUCUCAGCAAGUGACUCUGCUUCGGUUUGGAGAGGCCUCAAACACCUCACCAACUACAAGCCAAAAACCCCCCACUCCAUGAAUGACCUCCGCCUGGCAGACGAGCUCAAUGAGUUCUACUGCAGAUUUGAAAGACAAUGUCCUGAUCCCAUCCCCCACAGCUCCACCAACCUGCUGCAGUCCCCCUCCCCUCCCUCCCCCAGCCCAUCAGGUGCUCACGCCUCUUCAUCAUUAUCACCUUCCCCUCCCCCACCAGCAACGACCCUCUCUAUUCUGGAGAGAGACGUUAACCGGCUCUUUAGAAGACUAAAUCCCCGUAAGGCAGCCGGUCCGGACUCCGUUUCCCCUCACUCCCUGAAGCAUUGUGCUGACCAGCUGUCUCCGGUGUUCACGGACAUCUUCAACACCUCCCUGGAGACAUGCCACGUACCAGCCUGCUUCAAGGCCUCCACCAUCAUCCCUGUCCCCAAGAAGCCCA
ensembl:lncRNA